rnacentral:rRNA from 1 species
CCAGACUCCUACGGGAGGCAGCAGUGAGGAAUAUUGGUCAAUGGGCGCGAGCCUGAACCAGCCAAGUCGCGUGAGGGAUGACGGCCCUACGGGUUGUAAACCUCUUUUGUCGGGGAGCAAAUUCCGUUACGUGUAACGGAGUCGAGAGUACCCGAAGAAAAAGCAUCGGCUAACUCCGUGCCAGCAGCCGCGGUAAUACGGAGGAUGCGAGCGUUAUCCGGAUUUAUUGGGUUUAAAGGGUGCGUAGGCGGACUGUCAAGUCAGCGGUAAAAUACGGGGGCUCAACCCCGGCGAGCCGUUGAAACUGGCUGUCUUGAGAUGUCGAGAGGUAUGCGGAAUGCGCAGUGUAGCGGUGAAAUGCUUAGAUAUCACGCAGAACCCCGAUUGCGAAGGCAGCAUACCGGUGCACAACUGACGCUCAGGCACGAAAGCGUGGGUAUCGAACAGGAUUAGAUACCCGCGUA